UACAGAGGUCCCAAGCGUUGUUCGGAUUCACUGGGCGUAAAGGGUGCGUAGGCGGUCGGGUAAGUCUGAUGUGAAACCUCCGGGCUCAACCCGGAAAUGGCAUUGGAUACUAUUCGGCUCGAGGUCUGGAGGGGGGACUGGAAUACUUGGUGUAGCAGUGAAAUGCGUAGAUAUCAAGUGGAACACCAGUGGCGAAGGCGAGUCCCUGGACAGAUCCUGACGCUGAGGCACGAAAGCUAGGGGAGCAAACAGG
rnacentral:rRNA from 1 species